rnacentral:misc_RNA from 1 species
UCAAAAUCAUCGUGCCCGUCUCCAGCUCUUGUCUGUGCCGGCCGUCGCCCAGCCUGUCGAUCUCAUCUCCCUGUGAUUUUUAUCAGCCGCUGCACAGCCUUCAUCUUCCUUUUCAUUUUCUCUCCAGCCGGUAUUUCUUCCUGCGCGCUCCAUCUCCCGUUCGCGGUGCCGCGCCCUUGCAGCUCCCAACCAUGGCGGUACUGCUCCCAGCCGCGAGCCCGCCGAGCUCCUUCCAGUUCUCUCUGCAAGCGCCCUGUACCCCGCUCAAGCCCCUCCCUCUCCCCUCUGUUCGAUGGUCGCCGCCCCUGUUCCUUUUUCUGUGCCGCGCGUCUCCUCUCCCUCUUUCCCGCGCUCGGCCUAGCCAUCUUCACAGCAGUCGUCGGCCGGACGUCUCUCUGCCGGUGCUCGCCCUGGUCGCGCGCCAUCGCUCAGCUCAUUCGCUUGGAGCUCUGCGCGCCCAGCCGAGCGACUUCUUCCGUGCGAGCUUGCCCCUGCUCACAGUUCUUUCGUACCUAGCUCCCUUCGGCGCGUCCCUCUGCCCCUGCACGCACUCCUGUGUCCAUGUCGCGCCCUGGUUCUACGCGCGUUCUUCCCUACGCGCCGCUCAGUCUUGCCAUCGCCCUGUGCGCGUCCUGGUUCGCCCAGCCCUGCGCGCUCUGUUCGCCCAUGGAGUUUGCCGAGUUCUAUUUCUGCUCGGUCGUGCCCCUACCGAGUCUCCCAUGGCCGCGCCCUGGGAUUUGCCGGAGUCUGCUUCCCUCGUCGCGCGCCUGCACGCAGCUCACGCCCUGCUAGCCCCUGCUGCGGGUUGUCGAGCUCUCUGCUCACGCUCAGCUUGCUCUUUCCUUGUUUACCGCGCGCACGAAUUUUAUCUGCUCGCCACAGCGUGUCGAGCUCCCGCACUAUCAUCGCUUCUAUCGCAAGCUCGUUAGCCACAGUUAUCUUGACCGCGUCAGCUCGCCAGACCUACAACUCUAUAUACGCCACCCUCUCGUAUCGUUGUCGAGCCCGUCGAACCUCGUUCUUCUCUGCUCGCUCUCGUCGAAUACCAAAUCCCGGAUAUUAGAUAAAAAUAAGCGAGGCCCCUGUGUAUCGCUUAUCAAGUACUCGGUUGAAGACAUCAAUCGAAGAUCAUCGUUGUUUGGUGCGUCGUCAAGAAAUCCCAAGACGAAGCUAGCAGCGCGAUUUUUCCCAAGCGCUCGACAAAUUGCUUGGAUCAGAAAAUCGCUACCGAUCUCGCAGAUUCGUGUCAGCUGUGGAAACGGAACGUUAAUUAAUCGCGUGAUGCGGAGAAAAAGACGACCCAAGUCGACCCCAAGCGCGGGCUAACCCGCAGGAUGAUGUUGAUGGACAGAACCGAAGAGGGAUAAUCUGGCGAAUGUCAAGACAGAAGAUGAUCGCCAAGUGGUCGCCUAACAAACACUAACCUAGUGUUACUCAGGUUCUAGCUUUGUGCUGCUUUUGAUGGUGUUAAGUGCCGGUGGGCUCGGCCUUCUUAUAUAAGUAUAACCCGUCUUUAUCUUCUUACUGAGGAUGGUCAUUUGAGCUAGCAUAUAUUUCAAACUUAUACUUUUGUAAUCACUCCGAUAAAAUAAUAUAAAAUUUUUGUAA